CUAGCCAUUCGUGUUUCGCUCCUCCAAGCACCCUCGUUUUCUUCUCCCCAUUCUCCUCGUUCGCCGCCGCCUCCCCAGGUCUCACUCCCCGCCGCGCCGGCCUCCUCUCCGUCGAGCCGCCGUCGCCCGCCUGCUCUCCGAUGACCCAAAGACGAGCAGCUGCGUCUUCGUAGGCUCCCGCUAGGGUUUCUGCCCCGCCGCCGCCCACGAAGAAGCCGCAGGGAUGCCUGCCGCCUCCAUGGCGCCGCCGCAGACCCCCUCUGUAGCUGGGGAUCCCCUCUUCGACAAGCUCUAACACGCCUGCGCCGGCCCGCUCAUCACCGUCCCGCGCAUCGGCGACCUCGUCUUCUACUUCCCGCUCAGCCCGACGAGCGCACGAUCCUGCUAUGCUCGGCACCGGCGACGUCGCCAUCUUCCUCGAUGCAGCACAAGAGGAGCACGGAUCAGAGAGGGGCAUCCAUGGUGUUGGUUCGGUCAACCUGUCCCCCGCUGUUGUGGUCCGCCCCGCUGCCCUCCUCCUGUUCGUCCCUCUCCAUGAGCUCGGAUGACGCCGAUGGAACUGCGGCAGGAUUAAUUCGUUGGAGAUGCAAGAAAAAAUUAAGGACGAAAUCCCUAGCAGAAGACAUCAUGAGCUGGGCGUUUCAGCCACCCUUUUCUUGUACCUGAUGAUGACGAGCCAAGGAGUAGGUUCAUCUGUGCCCAUGACUCCCCUGGUGAUGGUUUGCCAGCUGGUGGUGCCUUCUCUUCUGUGACCCAAAACAGAGUCACCGGGAAACCUAUUGUGGAUUAUGGUGGAUCAACUCGUGCUCCCCCUAGCAUCUCCCUCCCUCGACCCACUGGUGUUGGAAAAGUGGGUUGGAACAUUCAGCUAGCGUUAAAAAGGAUCUGGAGUGGUUCGGAGAACAAAGAGUUGAGUACUUAUAGAUCAACAUAAAUUACCUUUUGUUUUUAUUUCAGUCUUGCAAUAUCUUGGAGGCUUGUGCAUUGUACGAGUAAUUUUGUGUGUAACUAGACUUCUUGAACUGCCUUACCAUAGAUGGACGAUACUCCGUAUUCUGUUGUUUCCUUCUGAUUUGUCUCUAUUAUUGCAAAAAAGCAAGUUAUGCUUCUAGACGGAGAGCUGAUGAUAUAUAUGUCGUAAUCUUACACUUCUUUGUUUUUAUUCCUACCUUGAGGUGAUUCAACAUUGUUCAUUGCAUGGAGGACGGAGGAGCUGAAUGUAGAACGCUCUGAUAUUGUUUUCUUUGAGAAGUAUGAAGAUAAUAUUCAGAGAAAAAUCAUGUUAUGGUUAUGUCAGGGUCCAUGCUAGCGACUCAAUGGAGACCAUAAGAGCCCGGCCAGUGUCAUAAUACAAGACAUGCUGGAGGAACCGCAACUUCCAUGCCCUAAGGUUGAGAGCCGUAGUCCCCAUGCCAGAUCUGCAGGAAAACAAUAACAGCGGAAGAGAUCCUGAAGAUUAAUGUUAAGCCAGAAUAGAAGAAGAUGAACAACCUGUCGCAUUCGAUCGACCCUAUUGUUCAAUGCGCAAUAGGCAGACUGAAGUUUACAUUGGUUGCCCAUGUGUUUUGCUUGCAGUUAUGGGGAUUUUGUCCUGGCUGUUUUACUUGCUUUGGACCCCUUGCGGUUGUUUAUGUUUUUUGAAGGUCUAAUGCUAUAUAUUUAGAUUGAUGCCAUUCUGCUGAAAUCUUAUGGUAGGUAGAGAAUUUUCUCAUUAAAUCUUGGAGAAUGAGGCUUGUAUAGCGAUAUCAGUUAAUGCAGUGAAUUUUUCUCUGCUCAUCCAAUGUCAUACUUCUUAGUUUAAGUUACACUAUCAGUAGCAAGUAAUUAUCACUGUCAAAUUUCUUAGCUAAGUUACACUUUCAUCAACAAGUAAUUCGCAUACAUAGUAGUCUGCAUUUGAGCCUCAUUUUCCCUCCAAACUCUGCUUUGCAUGUCCUUACAAUAAAUAGAAAUACAUAAGGUACCUUUACUUAUUUGCAUUAGCAUGUUACGCUGUCUUAUAAUGUACACGCUGUGAAGCUUCACGCAUUUCUUCAUUUUUCCAGCAACAAGCAACUCCACACGGAAUGAUCUGCAUUUGAGCUUCUUUUUUGCAUCUGAAGCGUAGUGCCUUCAAACUUGUGCUUCCCACACUGUACAAUCCAUUUUAUUUGUGGCACGAUUACAUAAAGAGGUCAUUGUCAUUCCUACCAAUUCAUGAAUAUAUCUAUCCUCAGAUAAACUUUUCACAUGUUUAUUAUCUAUUAAAUAAAGUGGACGAGGUGGUCAAAUGUUUCACAGGCUAUUGAUUAUUCUUUUUUGCUUUCUUCCAGAAUUAAUGUUUAAAUUCUUUGACAUGUUUAUUACCAUAGGGAACGAUAAUGGAAGGAUGCAUACCAGCCAACCGUGUAGACAGGUAAAACACAAUUGCUUUGUUGGAGCCAUUCAUUUCUCGAAUUUGUAGAAUAAUUCCUCUUGGAAAAAUGAAACAUAAAUCUGCACGUAGCUAUGUUAAUUGGGUUUCACAUCCAGGCCACAAAAUAAGAUGCAUGUGUUACUAAAGAAAUAGUGGGGGCCCAGUCGUCAUGUGCUUUUGCUGACAUAUUUGUGUGAGUUUCUUCGUUCCUUUUCUACUUACCUUCUUACUGAAUCUUAUUUUCUACUCACCUUCUCACUGUCAAAGAAUUUACCUUUAUUCAGUCCAUGUAUUUGCAUGGUUGUACUUUGUUUUAUCAUAUUUGUUGCUCCAGUGCCUAUUUUCUAAUGAUUUUUCAUGUUACCGUAGAUCUUAUUUCUCUAUUUUUGAGGGUGUUGUGAUCAGCAAGGACUUCAUGGGGCCUAUUCUAGGAUCUUAUUUACUUUUAUAAACUGAUGAAACUAUAGUCAUGUUCUUUUGUGCAAUUUUCGUCUUACAAAAAAUGUUGAUGCCUAAAUCAAAUUCAUGGGCCUCUCAAUUUAGUAUUUGCUACCUCUAAUUGAGCAUUUUUAAGUAUUAUUUUACCUUCCCGUCAUUUUUCUAUAUGUUCUUAUAUUUUAAUACAAUCUCUGUAGUCUUGCGUAUACCAUUGUACCAUUGUUUCUGUUACACGCAUCUGGAAGAAAAAUCAUAGAUGAUUUGAAAAGUUGGUCUCAGGUAUCAAAAUUUAUAGUUACAUUUUUUUAGAAGCCGCUCAUCCUUUUUUCUGCAUGAUAUGGGGAGUACAUGUCAAUUUUUGUUUCUUUUUAAUCCUGUUGGAGAAGCCGCGCCUUACCGAUUAAACUAGCUUGUUUCAUGUUCAAUGUCAGGUUGUUCUUUUCGGUACAUUGUUCUCUAGGUGCUUAAUGUUUUGUUUCAGAUUUUCUUUGGUUUAUGCAGCCCAUGAUGUCGGGUGAGGUUCGUCUCUGAGUAUCUGGAUGUGAUUCAUCCCUGAGCAUUCUUAUUUACCUAUGGGUGUGGGUAGUCACAGAGGUAUAUACAUUCAGUAGCUACAAUAAUAUCUCUGAAGCAGAUGGAAACCCCAGAUUGAACAUGGGAGAAGGAUCCAUAGAUGGAAAUCCAAACCGAACAUGGGAGAAGGGUCCCGAUGGCAUUUCUCUUGCAGAUUUCAUUAACUUUUUUACCAAACAACAUCACAAUUAUUUCUUUUGUUGAUAGCCCAACAAAUAUAGACGUUACUUUUGUUGUUCCUUCCUUCUAUUGUUCUUGACAUGUCCAUCUGAGUGUUUCGUACUAUAAUAUAUUCUUCUGUUUUCCUGGUUGUACAUAAAUAUUUUAUACUCCGUUUGUAAUUUCAUGUGCUUUAUCUUAA